rnacentral:rRNA from 1 species
AGCAAACGCUGGCGGCAGGCUUAACACAUGCAAGUCGAGCGGGCCCUUCGGGGUCAGCGGCCGACGGGUGAGUAACGCGUGGGAACGUGCCCUUCGGUUCGGAAUAACUCAGGGAAACUUGAGCUAAUACCGGAUACGCCCUUAUGGGGAAAGGCUUGCUGCCGAAGGAUCGGCCCGCGUCUGAUUAGCUAGUUGGUGAGGUUAUGGCUCACCAAGGCGACGAUCAGUAGCUGGUCUGAGAGGAUGAUCAGCCACACUGGGACUGAGACACGGCCCAGACUCCUACGGGAGGCAGCAGUGGGGAAUAUUGGACAAUGGGGGCAACCCUGAUCCAGCCAUGCCGCGUGAGUGAUGACGGCCUUAGGGUUGUAAAGCUCUUUUCUCCGGGACGAUAAUGACGGUACCGGAGGAAUAAGCCCCGGCUAACUUCGUG